UCUCAUUCGGAUUGGAGUCUGNAACCCGACUCCAUGAAGCUGGAUUCGCUAGUAAUCGCGCAUCAGCCACGGCGCGGUGAAUACGUUCCCGGGCCUUGUACACACCGCCCGUCAAGCCAUGGAAGCCGGGAGUGCCUGAAGUGCGUGAGCGCAAGCAGCGCCCUAAGGUAAAACCGGUGACUGGGGCUAAGUCGUAACAAGGUAGC
rnacentral:rRNA from 1 species